rnacentral:lncRNA from 1 species
GAUUUAAAAAUAAAAAUAAGGCUGGCCAUGGUGGUUCACACCUGUAAUCUCAGUGUUUUGGGAGGCCAAGACAGGAGGGUUGCUUAAGGCCAGGAGUUCAAGACCAGCCCGGGCAACAUAGGGAGACCCAUCUCUACAAAAAACAAACAAAUAAAUAAAUAGCCAGACAUGGCGAUGCAUGCCUGUAGUCCCAGCUACUCAGGAGGCUGAGGUGGCAGGAUUUCUUGAGCCCAGGAGGUCAAGGCUGCACUAAGCUGUGAUUGCACCACUGCACUCCAGCUUGAGCAAUAGAGCAAGACCCCGCCUCUAAAAAAUAAAUAAACAAAUAAUAAAAAAUAAACACCAACUUCAUUAUUCAAAACUGUGCAUAGCUCUUCACUAAACAUUGAAUAGCAGUUCUUUCAUUUUUGUCUUCCCAACAGCCCUAUAAAAUAGAUGAUUUGUAAAUACACCAAUCGGCACACUGUAUCUAGCUCAUGGUUUGUAAACACACCAAUCAGCACCCUGUGUCUAGCUCAGGGUUUGUGAACGCACCAGUCGACACUCUGUAUCUAGCUAAUCUAGUAGGGACUUGGAGAACUUUUGUGUCUAGCUCAGGGAUUG